UGCCGGCUUUCCAACAGCCGGGGUUACUGAAGAGGCACACCUUCAUUGCCGGAAGUGCGGUGGGAUCUCCCUCCAAUCCAUGGCAGACAAAGCCGAACUAUGCCGUGUCAGCGGCGUUGGUUCAUUAUCUGCGCGAUCAGGCGCUUGCAAGGUUC
rfam:Rhizobium mesoamericanum STM3625 genomic scaffold, ANZ_1636